CCUACGGGAGGCAGCAGUGAGGAAUAUUGGUCAAUGGACGAGAGGCUGAACCAGCCAAGCAGCGUGAAGGAUGACGGCCCUAUGGGUCGUAGACCUCUUUUAUAAGGGAAUAAAACGCGGCACGCGUGCCUUUCUGCGGGUACUCUAUGAAUAAGGAUCGGCUAACUCCGUGCCAGCAGCCGCGGUAAUACGGAGGAUUCGAGCGUUAUCCGGAUUUAUUGGGUUUAAAGGGGGCGGAGGUGGGUUGUUAAGCCCGUCGUGAAAGUUGGGGGCUCAACCCUAGCAUAGCAAUUGAUACUGGCAGUCUUGAGUACAGUGGAGGUAGGCGGAAUGCGUGGUGUAGCGGUGAAAUGCAUAGAUAUCGCGAAGAACCCCGAUUGCGAAGGCAGCGUGCCAAGCCGCGACUGACACUGAGGCACGAAAGUGUGGGGAUCGAACAGGAUUAGAUACCCGAGUAGUC
rnacentral:rRNA from 1 species